UUUGGUCUACGGAGCGACCGCGAGGUCGCAACACCAAGGUGUGCGAUAGCUGUUGGGUUAUUAUAUUUCUUUGUAGGUAGGGGGUUGGGGCUGCUCGAGGAGGAGCCCUGCGCGGCGGAGACGGCCGACGCGGGUGGCGUCGCAAGUAAGACGUAGGUACGGGCCGCGGCCGUCGUUGGAGCGGCCUCUUGGUGGCGGGGUGGAGCGCGGGAGAAAGGAAAGCGAAAAUAAAAGGGGCAAAGUAGGGGGAGAGAGACAUGAGGGGGGGUGUCCUUGCCCGGCACCGGCGGAGUUCAUCCGGGGUUGACGACAGCGGCCAGAGAUACUUCUCGAGCGCGGUGGCCUAGACGCCGGACGCGACAGGGGUAAGGAUCUAAGGCACCUCAAGCGAGCGGUAGGGCACGGACGUGUGGGUUCGGCGACACGUGGGGAGGCGUCCGGUGGCGAAACGGGGCGGCACGUAGGGUCAAAAUUCAAGAAAGGGUCGGCCCCGAGCCUCAACCUACCAGUUCUUUCCUCCUGUACCUCGUUCCGCAAGAACCACCGGCGCGUGUGCCCCGUCCGCAAGUGCCGCCCAAGCGUGCGCGGCGUGUCCCUGUCCACGGCCAUUACCUCGUCGUCUUGCGUCCGCAGGGUGCCACCGCAGGCGCGGUAGUUCGAGGUCGUGGUUCGGUUCGGUGCAGACCGGGAGACAGCAGUAGACGUGCGUACGGUACCGUAGGCGCGGGAGUUCGAGGUCGUGGUCGGGGCGGAAGGAUGCGGCGCGGCGGCGGGCGCAAGGAGACGAGGCUGGCGCGGGCUGCGGGCACGGCCGCUGGUGAAGCCGGGAACGGUGCGGCCGCUGGUGGUUCUUGGGGCGGUGGAGGACCGGAGGCGAACGCUGCCUCCGGGCGCCCACACCCUCGGCAGUUGCCGGCGCUGGAGCUCACAGAGGUCGCCCUAUCCGCCACCGUCAUGCGACGCCGCCCCGACCCCGGUGAGCGCCGUCCCCCACCGCCGCGCGAACUCCACCUCUACGCUAACCCUCACAAAAAAAGAUAGCGAUCAUUGACAAGCCCAACUGGAACCUGACGCCCAACUAAGCAUAUUUGAAGUUCCCGAAAAUACGUUUUGUUGGUACUGCCUGCUGUCUUUGGGUUAAGAGAAAUAAUAAUCCAUUUCUAUUUCUAAAAAAGGCACAGGGAAAAAAGGACUUUUACAG
rnacentral:rRNA from 1 species